GUAGACAACUGCUCCAACUCUAUCAGUAAUCUCAAAAGGUUCAAUAUACCGAGGUGUCAACUUGCCAUUCUUUUCAAAUCUCAUAACUCUCUUCAUCGGAAAAACCUUCAGGAAUACGUAAUCACCUACUGCAAACUUUACAUCCCUCCGUCUGGGAUCUGCAUAACUCUUCUACCUACUGAAAGCCGUUUUCAAUCGUCCUCUGAUUAAAGGAACCAUAUCAGAAGUGUAUUGCACUAGGUCUACAUCAUGCACUUUCGCUUCUCCUAUUUCCAUCCAGCACAACGGAGAUCUGCACUUUCUGCCAUACAACUCCUCAUAGGGUGCCAUCCCGAUGCUGGAAUGAUAACUGUUGUUGUAGGCAAAC
rnacentral:misc_RNA from 1 species